GGAGAGAUGGCCGAGCGGUUCAAGGCGUAGCAUUGGAACUGCUAUAUAGACUUUUGUUUACCCAGGGUUCGAAUCCCUCUCUUUCCG
rfam:Triticum aestivum genome assembly, contig: Triticum_aestivum_CS42_TGACv1_scaffold_433668_5DL